rnacentral:rRNA from 1 species
UACGAAGGGGGCGAGCGUUGUUCGGAAUUACUGGGCGUAAAGGGCGCGUAGGCGGCCUGCUAAGUCACACGUGAAAUCCCUCGGCUCAACCGGGGAACUGCGUGUGAUACUGGCGGGCUUGAAUUCGGGAGAGGGAUGUGGAAUUCCAGGUGUAGCGGUGAAAUGCGUAGAUAUCUGGAGGAACACCGGUGGCGAAGGCGGCAUCCUGGACCGAGAUUGACGCUGAGGCGCGAAAGCUAGGGGAGCAAACGGG